CAUUCUGCAUGGCCUCCUGGUCCCUACCUGAACGCAAAGGGUCUGAGUUGCUGCGUGCCUAACGUGGAACACAGCAGGGAAGGGGGAGAGCCGCCUAAGGGAAGCGGGAGCCAGCACAUCUCUGAAGCCCUUAAAAAGCAAGGUCACACACUACAACACGGAGGAACCCUGAAAACGUUAAAGAAGCCGGUUCCAAAAGACAACAGCCCUUGAUUCCAUUUAUAUGAAGUGUCCAGAAUGGGUAAAUUCAUAGAGACAGAAAAGGGGUGGUUGCCUGGUGGUUUUUGGGGGUGAUGACAGUGUUCUAAAGUUGAUCGUGGUGACGGUUGCACAACUCUGUGAAUAUAGCAAAAAUCAGGGUAUUGUCCAUCUUAAAUGGGUGAAUUAUAUGGUAUAUGAAUCAUACCUCAAAGCUGUUAUCCUUGCCCCCCACCCCCAGAAAACCAAGACAGAACAUAGGUUAUGCCCCCC